UACGUAGGGUGCAAGCGUUAAUCGGAAUUACUGGGCGUAAAGCGUGCGCAGGCGGCUUUGCAAGACAGAUGUGAAAUCCCCGGGCUCAACCUGGGAACUGCGUUUGUGACUGCAUGGCUAGAGUACGGUAGAGGGGGAUGGAAUUCCGCGUGUAGCAGUGAAAUGCGUAGAUAUGCGGAGGAACACCGAUGGCGAAGGCAAUCCCCUGGACCUGUACUGACGCUCAUGCACGAAAGCGUGGGGAGCAAACAGG
rnacentral:rRNA from 1 species